rnacentral:rRNA from 1 species
CCUACGGGAGGCAGCAGUGAGGAAUAUUGGUCAAUGGACGAGAGUCUGAACCAGCCAAGUAGCGUGAAGGAUGACUGCCCUAUGGGUUGUAAACUUCUUUUAUAAAGGAAUAAAACGAGGCACGUGUGCCUUUUUGUAUGUACUUUAUGAAUAAGGAUCGGCUAACUCCGUGCCAGCAGCCGCGGUAAUACGGAGGAUCCGAGCGUUAUCCGGAUUUAUUGGGUUUAAAGGGAGCGUAGAUGGGUUGUUAAGUCAGUUGUGAAAGUUUGCGGCUCAACCGUAAAAUUGCAAUUGAUACUGGCAGUCUUGAGUACAGUUGAGGUAAGCGGAAUGCGUGGUGUAGCGGUGAAAUGCUUAGAUAUCACGAAGAACUCCGAUUGCGAAGGCAGCUUACUAAACUGUGACUGACAUUGAUGCUCGAAAGUGUGGGUAUCAAACAGGAUUAGAUACCCCAGUAGUC